GGAUGUAGUUCAGUUGGUUAGAGCGUCAGAUUGUGGUUCUGAAUGUCGUGGGUUCGAGUCCCACUAUC
rnacentral:tRNA from 2 species